UAUCCGUAGGUGAACCUGCGGAAGGAUCAUUACAAGGGAUUUACGGAAGAGGUGCUAGUUAUUCGGGGGGAGUAAACACAUCGCUUAUUGGAUGUUACGCCGGUGGCCAUAUCGGGGGUGGCUAGGCCCGAAGUAGGAACACAUUCAACCUUCACAGUAUCAUCUUUAUAAUAAAUAACUGUUUUAGAAAGUCAUUUUUUAUAGAAGCAGACAUCAAUAACUACAACUUUCAACAACUGAUCUCUUGGCUCCCUCAUCGAAGAAGAAAGCAGCAGGGCG
rnacentral:misc_RNA from 1 species